AUAAAUAUGAUACCAUAUCAGUAUAUUUAUAUACCAUGUUGAUAUCAUAAUUUUGAGUGAAUUUCGGGUAAACAGUUUCAGGGGCAUGAAAGUAAGAGUGGUGUUUUCAGGGGACAUAACGUUUUUUUCCCAAAAAUUUAAGGUGGAUAGAAGUUACAUGGCAACGUCAAAACAGGCUGUUAUAUCAAAUUUUUACUAUUUUAGGAGUUGUCUCUGGAUAAAAUACUUAGGCCCACGAGUGAAAAUAUUGAUCCAUGUGAUAAAAGCCCAUAAUUCAGCCCAAUAAAGUUGCCACAGGGCAUAGCUUCCUGCUUUUCACUCAGUCCCAGGUGUUGGAACACAGAAUCUUGUUGUCUCUAUUUUCGCCACGAUCUUUCUGAAUUUCCUAAACCCCAUUCCUCUCCUUCUCAAAUGGCAUCCCAAGGAUCAUUGGAGGCGCCACCAGAGGAAUUUCCAACUAGGAUCAAUUACCGUCUAAAUGGCAAGCCUCGGAUUGUAAUUGAACACUACAUGCCUGAACUGGAAACAUAUAUGCCAAGAGAUGCUGAACCAAUUGAUUUAAAUGUAUUGCGAGAAAUCAAUGAUUGAUUGACAGCUAUGCUAGAAGAUGUGAGAUUGAUGAAGAAACGACUUACCCUUAUCAUGAUUUUGCAGUUACUAUGUCUCUUUGUUGCAUUUUCAGGUCUUUUUGUGAAGUUGAUCCGAAAGUAAGUAGUGUUAUCCAAUGAGCCAUUUAGCCUUCUAGGAAUGCUGCUCGGAAGUUUGUCUAGGAAAAUGGAGUGUUAAUAGUUCUUUAAACUUUUGUGCUUUGAGUCGGUACUUUGCAGUCUGCAUGCUUGUGUGCCUCUAUCAUCAUGUGCUGUUGUAAAUAAGUCCUUGUAAUCAAGUUUUUGGCUUUUUUUUUACAUUGAAAAGAAAAGAUGAAAGAAGUUUCCAUUU